AACGAACGCUGGCGGCAGGCUUAACACAUGCAAGUCGAACGCAUCCUUCGGGAUGAGUGGCAGACGGGUGAGUAACGCGUGGGAAUUUACCCAGCUCUACGGAACAACUCAGGGAAACUUGAGCUAAUACCGUAUACGCCCUUUGGGGGAAAGAUUUAUCGGAGUUGGAUGAGCCCGCGUUUGAUUAGCUAGUUGGUGGGGUAAAGGCCUACCAAGGCGACGAUCAAUAGCUGGUCUGAGAGGAUGAUCAGCCACACUGGGACUGAGACACGGCCCAGACUCCUACGGGAGGCAGCAGUGGGGAAUAUUGGACAAUGGGCGCAAGCCUGAUCCAGCCAUGCCGCGUGAGCGAUGAAGGCCUUCGGGUCGUAAAGCUCUGUCCUAAGGGAAUAAUGACGGUACCUUAGGAGGAAGCCCCGGCUAACUACGUGCCAGCGCCGCGGUAA
rnacentral:rRNA from 1 species